GAGUAACACGUAAGCAACCUGCCUAUCAGAGGGGAACAACAGUUAGAAAUGACUGCUAAUACCGCAUAUGCCUUAGAAUCACAUGGUUCAAAAGGGAAAGGAGCAAUCCGCUGAUAGAUGGGCUUGCGUCUGAUUAGCUAGUUGGUGGGGUAACGGCCUACCAAGGCGACGAUCAGUAGCCGAACUGAGAGGUUGAACGGCCACAUUGGGACUGAGAUACGGCCCAGACUCCUACGGGAGGCAGCAGUCGGGAAUAUUGCGCAAUGGAGGAAACUCUGACGCAGUGACGCCGCGUGCAGGAAGAAGGUUUUCGGAUUGUAAACUGCUUUAGACAGGGAAGAACAAAGACAGUACCUGUAGAAUAAGCUCCGGCUAACUACGUGCCAGCAGCCGCGGUAAUACGUAGGGAGCGAGCGUUAUCCGGAUUUAUUGGGUGUAAAGGGUGCGUAGACGGGAAGUCAAGUUAGUUGUGAAAUCCCUCGGCUUAACUGAGGAACUGCAACUAAAACUGAUUUUCUUGAGUACUGGAGAGGAAAGUGGAAUUCCUAGUGUAGCGGUGAAAUGCGUAGAUAUUAGGAGGAACACCGGUGGCGAAGGCGACUUUCUGGACAGAAACUGACGUUGAGGCACGAAAGUGUGGGGAGCAAACAGGAUUAGAUACCCUGGUAGUCCACACCGUAAACGAUGGAUACUAGGUGUAGGGGAUAUAAAAUUCUCUGUGCCGCCG
rnacentral:rRNA from 1 species